GAGGAAAUAGGCAGUAGAGACAACUUGGCCAGCCCACACAUGCUAUCAGAUCAGUACGGACACAUGACACUACCAGAAUGUGGGCUUGACUGCCGGUGCAACAUCACCAUCCACGGCUGCCACCAAAUUUUCACCAGAGGGCAAAGGACAGCUGUUCUGAAACACGUCAUCACUGCAUGACUUUUGUAUCCCGGUUUCUGCUCGACACAUCAAUCGUAAUCCCGACACCAAAGGUUCAACUCUGUCCUCUUACCUUACUCAUUAAUCUAACGGUUCAAAUGUUGGACACUAAUGAGUCUGGCAGUGAGUACUCCAUGACCCCUUCACCAUAACCCACCUCACGGCUCAUUCGGUUUAGAGGAUUUCAUAAUGUAGGAAUUUUAUAGGAUGACACUUGUCAUCUUAAGGAAUUGACUCGCCUCGUUCCUAUGCGCAAAAUGAGCUUUGAAUGGAUGUGUAAUUUUCUCCGAAAACACAGGAAAUGAAUAGUAUUCCUACGAAAUUCAUGUACACAUUUUCUACAAACCGAACGCAUCUAUAGGAAAUUUGCCUCCGGUAUCCCUGUUCCUAUGUGUUUCCUAUGAAAAUCCUCCAAACCAAAUAGGCCCUCAAAACAGAGCAAACUUGAUCACCUGCUGUUAGACAAGAAACAAAGUACAAGCCUGUGAACGGACAAUGUGAAAAUAUAACAAUGCAAUAGACUAUGCAAAUACUCCCUCCGUAAACUAAUAUAAGAGCAUUUAGAUAAUUAAAAUAGUGAUCUAAACACUAUUAUAUUACUUUACGGAGGGAGUAUAACUUAUAUAAUUGUAUCACGCUACAAAACUGGAGAAUAAAACUGUAGUCCCUCUAAAAUGCCACUUGACAAUUUCUGAUAUGAAUCAAGUACUAAGAUAUCUUAAAGAUCUUACUUAAUCUUAAAAAAACAGUUUUUCUAAAGCACAUCUAGAUGUGCCAUAAGUAAAAAUAUAUUUAGAAUCAGCCCCAACCAAGACGAACCUAUCAAGAACAAGAUCUUUCAUCAGUUCUAAAGGAGGAAAACUUUGAAGGUUCUUCUAGCCCCCGAAUGCCUUCUGAGGAUAUUUACGGCCGUAGCCAGCUCGGUAUCAUUUUCCCCUGUGCUGUGAAAAAUCUCAGUCGCUGAUAUCCAUGUGCAAGAAUUCAGUAGUUAUGCAAAGCAAAAAAGAUCAGAAAAAAGGCCGGCAUUUUGCAAGUCUGUCGGAGACCAAUUGAGGUCCAAAGAAGCUAAUCUAGCGUCUCGAAUCGGCCUUGAAAACGAGGCCGGAAAAGAAACCAAGAUGGAUGGAUGCGUGCCUCAGAGUAUUACGCAGUGGAUAUCACCAGAGCCGCGCACACUGGUGGUGCGCAAGCGCAUUCAUCCAGAAUUCACCGAAGCUUUUGCAUCAUCAUCGGCACGCAGACACCAAAACCACGAAAAAAGAACACAUGAACUGAACCAAAAAGAAAAGGAGCGUGCCUCGAAUCGGAGAUCUCACCGGCAUAAUCAACGAACACAGCAGCCGAAACUCACGCAGCGCGGAACUGAAAGACGAAACCGGAACUCAACCAGCCAAAUAAAAUGAAAUCACGAAUUCAAAGGAUGUGUGCCUCAGAGUAUUACGCAGUGGAUAUCACGAGAGCUGUGCGCAAUGGUGGUGCGCAAGCGCAUUCAUCCAGAAUUCACCGAUGCUUUUGCAUCAUCAUCGGCACGCCGAAACCAAACCAACACAUGAACUGGGCCAGAAAGAAAAGGAGCAAGCCUCGAAUCGGAGAUCUCACCGGCAAAUCAAGAGCGAACACAGCAGCCGAAACUGACGCACCGCAGAGCUGGAAGACGGAACCGGAACUCGACCAGCAAAUAAAGUAAAAUCACGAAUUCAAAGCAGAAUAAGAACUCGGGGAAGCAAGCAGGCUGCCAGACGGGAGAUGUAUCUUCCUUUUAGUUAUGGACAACAAAGGUUGGAGCUGGAGAUGAGGAGAGGUGAGGCGAGGCGAAGGAAGCAGAU
rnacentral:rRNA from 1 species